rnacentral:rRNA from 1 species
AUUGAACGCUGGCGGCAUGCUUUACACAUGCAAGUCGAACGGCAGCGCGGGGCAACCUGGCGGCGAGUGGCGAACGGGUGAGUAAUACAUCGGAACGUACCCAGAAGUGGGGGAUAACGUAGCGAAAGUUACGCUAAUACCGCAUACGAUCUACGGAUGAAAGUAGGGGACCGCAAGGCCUUAUGCUUUUGGAGCGGCCGAUAUCUGAUUAGCUAGUUGGUGAGGUAAAGGCUCACCAAGGCGACGAUCAGUAGCUGGUCUGAGAGGACGACCAGCCACACUGGAACUGAGACACGGUCCAGACUCCUACGGGAGGCAGCAGUGGGGAAUUUUGGACAAUGGGCGCAAGCCUGAUCCAGCAAUGCCGCGUGAGUGAAGAAGGCCUUCGGGUUGUAAAGCUCUUUUGUCAGGGAAGAAACGGUAGAGGCUAAUAUCCUUUGCUAAUGACGGUACCUGAAGAAUAAGCACCGGCUAACUACGUG